UGGGGAAUUUUGGACAAUGGGGGAAACCCUGAUCCAGCCAUCCCGCGUGUGCGAUGAAGGCCUUCGGGUUGUAAAGCACUUUUGGCAGGAAAGAAACGUCAUGGGUUAAUACCCCGUGAAACUGACGGUACCUGCAGAAUAAGCACCGGCUAACUACGUGCCAGCAGCCGCGGUAAUACGUAGGGUGCAAGCGUUAAUCGGAAUUACUGGGCGUAAAGCGUGCGCAGGCGGUUCGGAAAGAAAGAUGUGAAAUCCCAGAGCUCAACUUUGGAACUGCAUUUUUAACUACCGGGCUAGAGUGUGUCAGAGGGAGGUGGAAUUCCGCGUGUAGCAGUGAAAUGCGUAGAUAUGCGGAGGAACACCGAUGGCGAAGGCAGCCUCCUGAGAUAACACUGCCGCUCAUGCACGAAAGCGUGGGGAGCAAACAGG
rnacentral:rRNA from 1 species